rnacentral:rRNA from 1 species
UACGUAGGGCGCAAGCGUUGUCCGGAAUUAUUGGGCGUAAAGAGCUCGUAGGCGGCUUGUCACGUCGGGUGUGAAAGCCCGGGGCUUAACCCCGGGUCUGCAUUCGAUACGGGCUAGCUAGAGUGUGGUAGGGGAGAUUGGAAUUCCUGGUGUAGCGGUGAAAUGCGCAGAUAUCAGGAGGAACACCGGUGGCGAAGGCGGGUCUCUGGGCAAUAACUGACGCUGAGGAGCGAAAGCGUGGGGAGCGAACAGG